AUUUUGCCUGAGUAGGGACUGC
rnacentral:miRNA from 2 species